GCACCGUGGAGGCAGUCAAGGGCGUCAUCAAACCGAGGUACUCCUCGAUCACCGGAUCCUGGAAGGGUUGCGGAUUUGCUUACCUCUCUUGACUGGCCACAGGUACGGGGAAUUUUAGAUACCACACCCAUACGACAGUCAAUAAAACUGUUGUUCUUAUUGUG